UACAGAGGUCUCAAGCGUUGUUCGGAUUCAUUGGGCGUAAAGGGUGCGUAGGCGGCGCGGUAAGUCGGGUGUGAAAUCUCGGAGCUUAACUCCGAAACUGCAUUCGAUACUGCCGUGCUCGAGGACUGGAGAGGAGACUGGAAUUUACGGUGUAGCGGUGAAAUGCGUAGAUAUCGUAAGGGAGACCCGGGGCGAAGGCGGGUCUCUGGACAAUUCCUGGCGGUGGAGCACGAAGGGCAGGGGAGCAAACGGG
rnacentral:rRNA from 1 species